AGUGAACCAGUACCGUGAGGGAAAGGCGAAAAGAACCCCGGCGAGGGGAGUGAAAAAGAACCUGAAACCGUGUACGUACAAGCAGUGGGAGCACCUUCGGGUGUGACUGCGUACCUUUUGUAUAAUGGGUCAGCGACUUAUAUUCUGUAGCAAGGUUAACCGUAUAGGGGAGCCGCAGGGAAACCGAGUCUUAACUGGGCGUUAAGUUGCAGGGUAUAGACCCGAAACCCGGUGAUCUAGCCAUGGGCAGGUUGAAGGUUGGGUAACACUAACUGGAGGACCGAACCGACUAAUGUUGAAAAAUUAGCGGAUGACUUGUGGCUGGGGGUGAAAGGCCAAUCAAACCGGGAGAUAGCUGGUUCUCCCCGAAAGCUAUUUAGGUAGCGCCUCGUGAACUCAUCUUCGGGGGUAGAGCACUGUUUCGGCUAGGGGGUCAUCCCGACUUACCAACCCGAUGCAAACUACGAAUACCGAAGAAUGUUAUCACGGGAGACACACGGCGGGUGCUAACGUCCGUCGUGAAGAGGGAAACAACCCAGACCGCCAGCUAAGGUCCCAAAGUCACAGUUAAGUGGGAAACGAUGUGGGAAGGCACAGACAGCCAGGAUGUUGGCUUAGAAGCAGCCAUCAUUUAAAGAAAGCGUAAUAGCUCACUGGUCGAGUCGGCCUGCGCGGAAGAUGUAACGGGGCUAAACUGUGCACCGAAGCUGCGGCAGCGACACUAUGUGUUGUUGGGUAGGGGAGCGUUCUGUAAGCCUGCGAAGGUGGCCUGUGAGGGUUGCUGGAGGUAUCAGAAGUGCGAAUGCUGACAUAAGUAACGAUAAUGCGGGUGAAAAGCCCGCACGCCGGAAGACCAAGGGUUCCUGUCCAACGUUAAUCGGGGCAGGGUGAGUCGACCCCUAAGGCGAGGCCGAAAGGCGUAGUCGAUGGGAAACAGGUUAAUAUUCCUGUACUUGGUGUUACUGCGAAGGGGGGACGGAGAAGGCUAUGUUAGCCGGGCGACGGUUGUCCCGGUUUAAGCAUGUAGGCGGAGGUUCCAGGUAAAUCCGGUACCUUAUUAACGCUGAGGUGUGAUGACGAGGCACUACGGUGCUGAAGUAACAAAUGCCCUGCUUCCAGGAAAAGCCUCUAAGCAUCAGGUAACAUUAAAUCGUACCCCAAACCGACACAGGUGGUCAGGUAGAGAAUACCAAGGCGCUUGAGAGAACUCGGGUGAAGGAACUAGGCAAAAUGGUGCCGUAACUUCGGGAGAAGGCACGCUGAUAUGUAGGUGAAGCCCCUGCGGGUGGAGCUGAAAUCAGUCGAAGAUACCAGCUGGCUGCAACUGUUUAUUAAAAACACAGCACUGUGCAAACACGAAAGUGGACGUAUACGGUGUGACGCCUGCCCGGUGCCGGAAGGUUAAUUGAUGGGGUUAUCCGUAAGGAGAAGCUCUUGAUCGAAGCCCCGGUAAACGGCGGCCGUAACUAUAACGGUCCUAAGGUAGCGAAAUUCCUUGUCGGGUAAGUUCCGACCUGCACGAAUGGCGUAAUGAUGGCCAGGCUGUCUCCACCCGAGACUCAGUGAAAUUGAACUCGCUGUGAAGAUGCAGUGUACCCGCGGCAAGACGGAAAGACCCCGUGAACCUUUACUAUAGCUUGACACUGAACAUUGAGCCUUGAUGUGUAGGAUAGGUGGGAGGCUUUGAAGCGUGGACGCCAGUCUGCGUGGAGCCAACCUUGAAAUACCACCCUUUAAUGUUUGAUGUUCUAACGUUGGCCCCUGACCGGGGUUGCGGACAGUGUCUGGUGGGUAGUUUGACUGGGGCGGUCUCCUCCCAAAGAGUAACGGAGGAGCACGAAGGUUAGCUAAUCCUGGUCGGACAUCAGGAGGUUAGUGCAAUGGCAUAAGCUAGCUUGACUGCGAGCGUGACGGCGCGAGCAGGUGCGAAAGCAGGUCAUAGUGAUCCGGUGGUUCUGAAUGGAAGGGCCAUCGCUCAACGGAUAAAAGGUACUCCGGGGAUAACAGGCUGAUACCGCCCAAGAGUUCAUAUCGACGGCGGUGUUUGGCACCUCGAUGUCGGCUCAUCACAUCCUGGGGCUGAAGUAGGUCCCAAGGGUAUGGCUGUUCGCCAUUUAAAGUGGUACGCGAGCUGGGUUUAGAACGUCGUGAGACAGUUCGGUCCCUAUCUGCCGUGGGCGCUGGAGAAUUGAGGGGGGCUGCUCCUAGUACGAGAGGACCGGAGUGGACGCAUCACUGGUGUUCGGGUUGUCAUGCCAAUGGCAUUGCCCGGUAGCUAAAUGCGGAAGAGAUAAGUGCUGAAAGCAUCUAAGCACGAAACUUGCCCCGAGAUGAGUUCUCCCUGACUCCUUGAGAGUCCUGAAGGAACGUUAAAGACGAUGACGUUGAUAGGUCGGGUGUGUAAGCGUAGCGAUACGUUGAGCUAACCGAUACUAAUGAACCGUGAGGCUUAACCUU
rnacentral:rRNA from 1 species